rnacentral:lncRNA from 1 species
GUUGCCAGGCAACCUCUCUAGGCUUCUGUUGUGAUUCUGCUUUAGUUGGGUCUGGGGGGGUCUCUCUGGAGAGUGGCUAUAAAUGCUAGCCUUUGUGCUGGGCAGCAAAGCAAAUCAUCGGGAAUAACCCGGGAGCCUGGCAGGGAAACCGCUGCACUAUGGAGAGGACGCUUCCAGAUACAGAGGACAAAUCAAGUGAAGGGACGGAACAGGUCACACCCAGAGCGGCACAGAGGCCAGGGUGGCUUCCCCAGCCCUCCUCCCCGGGUCCUGCCUGUGCCGAGCCUUCCUCCCAGGAGGGAGGUGAUACUGACUUGAGAUCUUAUGGGUGUUUUGUUUGUGGCUGGGCCUGGCCGACCCUCUCUCCACGGCCUUAGAUCACACUCUGGAUGGAUAGGACAGUCGUCCUCAAUACUGAGCCUCUUUGGAGCAUACCCACUGAUGGUGGUUCACAAGCUACCCACGCCCACAGGCUGACCCAGAUCUCCGUGAAAUUAAAAAAUACUGUGAAAGGAAAAAGAGCCAAUGUCAUGUGGAUAAUGAAGUGUCAGCCACUGAAAAAUCUCAAAAUAAUAAACAUGGCUUGUUUGUCAGGGUUCUCUAGAGAAA